CGGCCAGACUCCUACGGGAGGCAGCAGUGGGGGAUAUUGCACAAUGGGGGGAACCCUGAUGCAGCGACGCCGCGUGGGUGAAGGAGCGUUUCGGCGCGUAAAGCCCUAUCGGCAGGGAAGAAGGAGGACGGUACCUGACUAAGAAGCCCCGGCUAACUACGUGCCAGCAGCCGCGGGAAUACGUAGGGGGCAAGCGUUAUCCGGAUUUACUGGGUGUAAAGGGGGCGCAGACGGCAGCGCAAGCCAGAUGUGAAAGCCCGGGGCUCAACCCCGGGACUGCAUUUGGAACUGUGUGGCUGGAGUGUCGGAGAGGCAGGCGGAAUUCCUAGUGUAGCGGUGAAAUGCGUAGAUAUUAGGAGGAACACCAGUGGCGAAGGCGGCCUGCUGGACGAUGACUGACGUUGAGGCUCGAAAGCGUGGGGAGCAAACAGGAUUAGAUACCCCCGUAAG
rnacentral:rRNA from 1 species